GACGAACGCUGGCGGCGUGCUUAACACAUGCAAGUCGAACGGAAAGGCCCUGCUUUUGUGGGGUGCUCGAGUGGCGAACGGGUGAGUAACACGUGAGUAACCUGCCCUUGACUUUGGGAUAACUUCAGGAAACUGGGGCUAAUACCGGAUAUGAGCUCCUGCUGCAUGGUGGGGGUUGGAAAGUUUCGGCGGUUGGGGAUGGACUCGCGGCUUAUCAGCUUGUUGGUGGGGGAGUGGCUUACCAAGGCUUUGACGGGUAGCCGGCCUGAGAGGGUGACCGGCCACAUUGGGACUGAGAUACGGCCCAGACUCCUCCGGGAGGCAGUAGGGGGGAAUAUUGCACAAUGGGGGGAAGCCUGAUGCAGCACCGCCGCGUGCGGGAUGCCGGCCUUCGGGUUGUAAACCGCUUUCGCAGGUGACGAAGCGUGAGUGACGGUAAUGGGUAAAGAAGCACCGGCUAACUACGUG
rnacentral:rRNA from 1 species